UGGGAAUAUUGGACAAUGGGCGCAAGCCUGAUCCAGCCAUGCCGCGUGAGUGAUGAAGGCCCUAGGGUUGUAAAGCUCUUUUGUGCGGGAAGAUAAUGACUGUACCGCAAGAAUAAGCCCCGGCUAACUUCGUGCCAGCAGCCGCGGUGAUACGAAGGGGGCUAGCGUUGCUCGGAAUCACUGGGCGUAAAGGGUGCGUAGGCGGGUCUUUAAGUCAGGGGGUGAAAAUCCUGGAGCUCAACUCCAGAACUGCCUUUGAUACUGAGGAUCUUGAGUUCGGGAGAGGUGAGUGGAACUGCGAGUGUAGAGGUGAAAUUCGUAGAUAUUCGCAAGAACACCAGUGGCGAAGGCGGCUCACUGGCCCGAUACUGACGCUGAGGCACGAAAGCGUGGGGAGCAAAACAGGAUUAGAUACCCUGGUAGUCCACGCCGUAAAACGAUGAAUGCAGCCGUUGGGGAGUUUACUCUUCAGUGGCGCAGCUAACGCUUUAAGCAUUCCGCCUGGGGGAGUACGGUCGCAAGAUUAAAAAC
rnacentral:rRNA from 1 species